UCUGGAGAGCGAGAUAUGAUAGUUGUGAGGAAUGAAAUAGGAAUUAGGCAUCCUUCUGGUCAUUUGGAAGACAAAUAUAUCAAUCUUGUAGUGUACGGAGAUGAUAAAGGGUAUUCUGCGAUGGCCAAGACAGUGGGGUAUCCCACUGCUAUUGCAGCAAAGAUGAUUCUUGAAGGUGAAAUUAACAGCAAAGGUAUGAUUGUCCCAUUGACAAAGGAUAUAUAUGGACCAAUGCUAAAGCAUAUUCAAGAGGAAGGCAUUGCAUACACAACCCAGAGUGUUAUCAGGCAAUAAAGCAGAACUUCAUGUUCCUCUCAGCCACCCGUCCACUGAGUUUCUAGUAUGCACAAAUUAAAGCUUGAAAAUCUGCCAUGGAUACCUUCAAUUGAGAAGUCUUCUGGGUUGAAUCCAUUGAAAUGAACAGAGCAGCAAAAAAGGAUUCCUAUUACCUUUGGCACAGGCUUUCAAUGAGAUUAUCCUAUUGAAUUGGGUUUAUUAAAGGCUACAAUUCCAGUGAACUUAUUUGGAAGCAAAUCUCAACGACUUCUGUUCCAUUUGUGUACCACAAUAUUAUCACAAUAUUUAUCAUAGCAUGAUAUUUUUUUCUUCAGAAAUGUAGGAUUUUUAUACAUGACGCAAGGAUCUUAAGGUUGUGCGAAACUAUUUUUCAUUGUUUCAUAAAUGCUGCAAAAUUGCUGCAUAUGGUGAAUAUUAAGACUAUUUUCUACUACAGUAUUUAAAAUGGAUUUCUAAACAAUGUAUUUUUAAAUUUAGAAAGAUUUGCUGUUUAUUAGGAAUGAAGAGGUUUAUGACCUAAGUGCCCAUACUGUUGAUUUUGAAAAGCUCCCAGCUUCACCCAGAUAUGCUUAAAUUUUGUUAUUCAUUGGUCUUCUAAGAAUGUGUAAGGAAUCAUUCAUUUUUCCUUGAGCCAUUUUUGUUGUCACUUUGUCAUUUGAUUCGUAUGCUUGAUGAAUAUCUACACUGAUUCCUUGAAUGAUAACUAUAGAAUCAAAAGUAGUUUGGCUUUUUUUUAAAAAAAUGAUAUAUUGUUCAGCUAGCUGAGUCUUAAGCACUUCCAGUUAAAGGCUACAGUUAACAGAAUUGGAAAAUAUCUGUCUCUGUAACUCUGAAGAUCUUUUCCUAAAACGGAGAUGUUAAUGUGUAAUAAACCAGCCUUUCCUAUCUUGGUUAUCCUUCAACGGUAUUGGGACUUGCAGAUUCCCAUAUUAUUAGAAUGUAUGCACAGUUCUUUGAAUGUCAUAAAAACUGAUCCAGCUUUGCAAAGAAGAUAUGAUUUUAUAACCAAAGGGAAAUAUGUACUUUUAAUUUAGCAUUUUUAUUGAGAAUAUGAUUGUUCUAGACACUUCUAUAAUAUAUGUUUAAAAUAUUAUUGUGGAGGAAAAAUGAUCUACUUUGCUUUACAUUUGCAAACUGUUAUAUUCCUUGAAAUUAUGUUUUAUAUAUUGGAGAACUUCUAAAUUCUGAAUUGAUAUGUAAAGUUGCCAACUAGUUUAUUUAUUUUCAUUAUCUUGAAGACAGAAUAUUUUUUGGUGCCUUUAAGAUUCUUACAUGUUUCAAUAUUAGAGAGAAACAAUAUAUUAGAGAAAUAUCUGGUAUAUAAAAAGAAAUCUGUUCUUGUUCUGUAAUGGACUUUCAGAUCAGUGAGUAGUAUGAAUUAUCUGUUUUAAAUGGAAACAUGGUGCAUAGAAAGGAAACCACAAUGUUUUCUUCCAUUCUGGAAUGGAAAAAGGUCUUUUUUUUUAAUCGCAGGGUGGGAAAAAUGUGGGCAGAAUUCAUUUGAAAGUAUGGAUAAAAACUGAGUGUGAUGGGAAAAAUGUGGAGUCUCACUGACAUCUGCAGCCAAACACUGUUCCAAGAUACAAUGAGUGGUAGCUCCAACUUUUUUUUUUUUUUUUUAGUAUUUUUGGAUAUACAAAUACUAAAUUUACACAUAAGCCCCUGAUAUUUGAUGUAUUAGUUCAGAGCAAUUUUUAAUAUUGCAUAAUUCUGUGCACAUUUACUGAAAAGUAAAUUCUACAGUAGCCAGGAAAUGUAAUCUGUUUAUCAAUAGAGGCUUUAGUAUCAUUAAUAUCCCUAAUUUUAUUUUUUUGAUGCUUAUUUAUGUUAACAGAAGAUAAUUGCUAUCUCAAAUCAUUUAGUUUUUUUUAAUACAAUGUCCAAUGUUUUUUUCUCUGCCUGUUGCAGUCACUGAGAAAUAGGAAAAUUGAGUUCAAGAUAUUUACUGGAAUGUAAUGGAACUGCUUCAUUUAUACUUAGCAAAUUUUGUAGAAAAAUUUUUGUGGGCUGUUGGUUUGCAAACAUUUUGCUGCCCAAAUUCACAACGAAGUGUCUCACUUUGUACAAUCCCAAUAACGUAACAAAACAUCCUGUUCUAAAAUAAAUCUGAAAAGGUUAAAUCAUAAA